CGCCUGCUCCUCGUCCUUCUCCUGCUGCCUCCGCUCGCCGCCUCGUCCCGACCCCGCGCCUGGGGGGCUACUGCACCCAGCGCUCCGCAUUGGAAUGAAACUGCAGAAAAAAAUUUGGGAGUCCUAGCAGAUGAAGAUAAUACAUUGCAACAGAAAAGCAGCAGUAAUAUCAGUUACAGCAAUGCAAUGCAGAAAGAAAUCACACUGCCUUCAAGACUCAUAUAUUACAUCAACCAAGACUCGGAAAGCCCUUAUCAUGUUCUUGACACAAAGGCGAGACACCAGCAAAAGCAUAAUAAGGCCGUCCAUCUGGCCCAGGCAAGCUUCCAGAUUGAAGCCUUUGGCUCCAAAUUCAUUCUUGACCUCAUACUGAACAA